UUAAGCGACUAAGCGUACACGGUGGAUGCCCUGGCAGUCAGAGGCGAUGAAGGACGUGCUAAUCUGCGAUAAGCGUCGGUAAGGUGAUAUGAACCGUUAUAACCGGCGAUUUCCGAAUGGGGAAACCCAGUGUGUUUCGACACACUAUCAUUAACUGAAUCCAUAGGUUAAUGAGGCGAACCGGGGGAACUGAAACAUCUAAGUACCCCGAGGAAAAGAAAUCAACCGAGAUUCCCCCAGUAGCGGCGAGCGAACGGGGAGCAGCCCAGAGCCUGAAUCAGUGUGUGUGUUAGUGGAAGCGUCUGGAAAGGCGCGCGAUACAGGGUGACAGCCCCGUACACAAAAAUGCACAUGCUGUGAGCUCGAUGAGUAGGGCGGGACACGUGGUAUCCUGUCUGAAUAUGGGGGGACCAUCCUCCAAGGCUAAAUACUCCUGACUGACCGAUAGUGAACCAGUACCGUGAGGGAAAGGCGAAAAGAACCCCGGCGAGGGGAGUGAAAAAGAACCUGAAACCGUGUACGUACAAGCAGUGGGAGCACGCUUAGGCGUGUGACUGCGUACCUUUUGUAUAAUGGGUCAGCGACUUAUAUUCUGUAGCAAGGUUAACCGAAUAGGGGAGCCGAAGGGAAACCGAGUCUUAACUGGGCGUUAAGUUGCAGGGUAUAGACCCGAAACCCGGUGAUCUAGCCAUGGGCAGGUUGAAGGUUGGGUAACACUAACUGGAGGACCGAACCGACUAAUGUUGAAAAAUUAGCGGAUGACUUGUGGCUGGGGGUGAAAGGCCAAUCAAACCGGGAGAUAGCUGGUUCUCCCCGAAAGCUAUUUAGGUAGCGCCUCGUGAAUUCAUCUCCGGGGGUAGAGCACUGUUUCGGCAAGGGGGUCAUCCCGACUUACCAACCCGAUGCAAACUGCGAAUACCGGAGAAUGUUAUCACGGGAGACACACGGCGGGUGCUAACGUCCGUCGUGAAGAGGGAAACAACCCAGACCGCCAGCUAAGGUCCCAAAGUCAUGGUUAAGUGGGAAACGAUGUGGGAAGGCCCAGACAGCCAGGAUGUUGGCUUAGAAGCAGCCAUCAUUUAAAGAAAGCGUAAUAGCUCACUGGUCGAGUCGGCCUGCGCGGAAGAUGUAACGGGGCUAAACCAUGCACCGAAGCUGCGGCAGCGACGCUUAUGCGUUGUUGGGUAGGGGAGCGUUCUGUAAGCCUGUGAAGGUGUACUGUGAGGUAUGCUGGAGGUAUCAGAAGUGCGAAUGCUGACAUAAGUAACGAUAAAGCGGGUGAAAAGCCCGCUCGCCGGAAGACCAAGGGUUCCUGUCCAACGUUAAUCGGGGCAGGGUGAGUCGACCCCUAAGGCGAGGCCGAAAGGCGUAGUCGAUGGGAAACAGGUUAAUAUUCCUGUACUUGGUGUUACUGCGAAGGGGGGACGGAGAAGGCUAUGUUGGCCGGGCGACGGUUGUCCCGGUUUAAGCGUGUAGGCUGGUUUUCCAGGCAAAUCCGGAAAAUCAAGGCUGAGGCGUGAUGACGAGGCACUACGGUGCUGAAGCAACAAAUGCCCUGCUUCCAGGAAAAGCCUCUAAGCAUCAGGUAACAUCAAAUCGUACCCCAAACCGACACAGGUGGUCAGGUAGAGAAUACCAAGGCGCUUGAGAGAACUCGGGUGAAGGAACUAGGCAAAAUGGUGCCGUAACUUCGGGAGAAGGCACGCUGAUAUGUAGGUGAAGUCCCUCGCGGAUGGAGCUGAAAUCAGUCGAAGAUACCAGCUGGCUGCAACUGUUUAUUAAAAACACAGCACUGUGCAAACACGAAAGUGGACGUAUACGGUGUGACGCCUGCCCGGUGCCGGAAGGUUAAUUGAUGGGGUCAGCGCAAGCGAAGCUCUUGAUCGAAGCCCCGGUAAACGGCGGCCGUAACUAUAACGGUCCUAAGGUAGCGAAAUUCCUUGUCGGGUAAGUUCCGACCUGCACGAAUGGCGUAAUGAUGGCCAGGCUGUCUCCACCCGAGACUCAGUGAAAUUGAACUCGCUGUGAAGAUGCAGUGUACCCGCGGCAAGACGGAAAGACCCCGUGAACCUUUACUAUAGCUUGACACUGAACAUUGAGCCUUGAUGUGUAGGAUAGGUGGGAGGCUUUGAAGUGUGGACGCCAGUCUGCAUGGAGCCGACCUUGAAAUACCACCCUUUAAUGUUUGAUGUUCUAACGUUGACCCGUGAUCCGGGUUGCGGACAGUGUCUGGUGGGUAGUUUGACUGGGGCGGUCUCCUCCUAAAGAGUAACGGAGGAGCACGAAGGUUGGCUAAUCCUGGUCGGACAUCAGGAGGUUAGUGCAAUGGCAUAAGCCAGCUUGACUGCGAGCGUGACGGCGCGAGCAGGUGCGAAAGCAGGUCAUAGUGAUCCGGUGGUUCUGAAUGGAAGGGCCAUCGCUCAACGGAUAAAAGGUACUCCGGGGAUAACAGGCUGAUACCGCCCAAGAGUUCAUAUCGACGGCGGUGUUUGGCACCUCGAUGUCGGCUCAUCACAUCCUGGGGCUGAAGUAGGUCCCAAGGGUAUGGCUGUUCGCCAUUUAAAGUGGUACGCGAGCUGGGUUUAGAACGUCGUGAGACAGUUCGGUCCCUAUCUGCCGUGGGCGCUGGAGAACUGAGGGGGGCUGCUCCUAGUACGAGAGGACCGGAGUGGACGCAUCACUGGUGUUCGGGUUGUCAUGCCAAUGGCACUGCCCGGUAGCUAAAUGCGGAAGAGAUAAGUGCUGAAAGCAUCUAAGCACGAAACUUGCCCCGAGAUGAGUUCUCCCUGACCCUUUAAGGGUCCUGAAGGAACGUUGAAGACGACGACGUUGAUAGGCCGGGUGUGUAAGCGCAGCGAUGCGUUGAGCUAACCGGUACUAAUGAACCGUGAGGCUUAACCUU
rnacentral:rRNA from 1 species